UGGGGAAUAUUGGACAAUGGGGGAAACCCUGAUCCAGCAAUGCCGCGUGAAUGAAGAAGGCCUUAGGGUUGUAAAGUUCUUUCACCUGUGAAGAUAAUGACGGUAGCAGGAGAAGAAGCCCCGGCUAACUCCGUGCCAGCAGCCGCGGUAAGACGGAGGGGGCUAGCGUUGUUCGGAAUGACUGGGCGUAAAGGGCGCGUAGGCGGCUUUUAAGUGAGGCGUGAAAGCCCUGGGCUUAACCCAGGAGGUGCGUUUCAUACUGAAAGGCUUGAGUACGAGAGAGGAAAGUGGAAUUCCUAGUGUAGAGGUGAAAUUCGUAGAUAUUAGGAAGAACACCAGUGGCGAAGGCGGCUUUCUGGCUCGUAACUGACGCUGAGGCGCGAAAGCGUGGGGAGCAAACAGGAUUAGAUACCCUAGUAGUCCCUGAGCGGGCUGGCAAGGCGCAU
rnacentral:rRNA from 1 species